CCUACGGGAGGCAGCAGUCGAGAAUCAUUCACAAUGGGGGAAACCCUGAUGGUGCGACGCCGCGUGGGGGAAUGAAGGUCUUCGGAUUGUAAACCCCUGUCAUGUGGGAGCAAAUUAAAAAGAUAGUACCACAAGAGGAAGAGACGGCUAACUCUGUGCCAGAUGCCGCGGUAAUACAGAGGUCUCAAGCGUUGUUCGGAAUCACUGGGCGGAAAGCGGGCGUAGGCUGUUGCGUAAGUCGUGUGUGAAAGGCGCGGGCUCAACCCGCGGACGGCACAUGAUACUGCGAGACUAGAGUAAUGGAGGGGGAACCGGAAUUCUCGGUGUAGCAGGGAAAUGCGUAGAUAUCGAGAGGAACACUCGUGGCGAAGGCGGGUUCCUGGACAUUAACUGACGCUGAGGCACGAAGGCCAGGGGAGCGAAAGGGAUUAGAUACCCCGGUAGUC
rnacentral:rRNA from 1 species